CCGCAGUUAGGCUAAUGCAGGUGGAAGGUAUUGUUGAUAGGCUCUUUGUGCUACACUGCAUGUCGAGCUUUAACACGCUGUCCGGCAGAAGCCUCCAACGCUAUUUUUAGACGGGGUGAGCCUUUAAUCUGCCUGUAAGAACACACUUUCAGGAAACAAGAAAAUGCCACCAGCCAAACGGAGACGUGGGGGGCUGAGACGGCGGCUGUUCCAGAUAGAGAUGCGAGAUGGAUUCAUAUAUAUUCAUGAAUUCAGUCAGAAAAGUCAAACGGAAGCAGUAUGAUAAUCUUGCAGUAAUUGCAUUUUUCCCUCCAACUGUUUUUGGCAGAGCAGAGAGCCACGUUCAGACACGCGGGAUGGGGAAUACAGUCUCGAGGAGCCGUGAACAGUGGAUACCCUCUGACCCCCGUACCUAAGAUUCAUUUGAUGUCCUGACCUCUGACUGAAGAACUUUUUAAUUUUCUGACUGUGCACUCUUUCUCUUCCGGGCCCCAGGAAAUGCCUUACAAAAAAAAAAAAAAAAAAGAAACAUUCAAAGGACCAUAUUUCAAACUAUCAAGCUUUUUUUUCUCUCCAUACAUGUCAGUCUGCUGUCAGCAGCCGUCUGAAAAGUGCUGACAUUGCUGCCCUCCUGUCCGGCAGCCCGCUCCCUCUGUGUGAACUUGGAUUUAGCUCAAGGGUAUAGCCACCCUGCUAAUGUGAUGUAGCUCCGAGAAGGAAACAAAUUGGCCUGACGUCUCAUACGCUGCCUUGUCUUGAUUGUGUGAUGGCUUCUACUGCUAAUGUGUUACGAUGGGUAGACCUGCGCAGGGAGGGAGACGGGUUUGUGUGUGUGUGUGUGUGUGUGUGUGUGUGUUACAUGGAG
ensembl:lncRNA